CCUACGGGUGGCAGCAGUGAGGAAUAUUGGUCAAUGGACGAGAGUCUGAACCAGCCAAGUAGCGUGAAGGAUGACUGCCCUAUGGGUUGUAAACUUCUUUUAUAUGGGAAUAAAAUGUUCCACGUGUGGGAUUUUGUAUGUACCAUAUGAAUAAGGAUCGGCUAACUCCGUGCCAGCAGCCGCGGUAAUACGGAGGAUCCGAGCGUUAUCCGGAUUUAUUGGGUUUAAAGGGAGCGUAGGUGGAUUGUUAAGUCAGUUGUGAAAGUUUGCGGCUCAACCGUAAAAUUGCAGUUGAAACUGGCAGUCUUGAGUACAGUAGAGGUGGGCGGAAUUCGUGGUGUAGCGGUGAAAUGCUGAGAUAUCACGAAGAACUCCGAUUGCGAAGGCAGUUCACUGGACUGCAACUGACACUGAGGCUCGAAAGUGCGGGUAUCAAACAGGAUUAGAUACCCUGGUAGUC
rnacentral:rRNA from 1 species